rnacentral:lncRNA from 1 species
AUGUGCAGGGGGGGCUGCUCUGGAGUGACCCCUACCGGCUUCUUGGAGGAGCAGGUGGAGGCCCCAUGUGACGUGGCUCCUCCUGCUGCUCCUGGACUUUCUCCUUGGCAGCGCUCACCAGGCUCAGGGCUCUCUGUUAACCAGCUGUCCCCUUCUCUGGACUGGAAGCCCCACAGGGAGGGGAAUUCUGGUUCAUCGUGUUCACUUUAUCAUCAGGCCCUAGCACAGAUCCUGACGUGUACGUAUUUGUUAAACAAACACAAGGGAAUAAAUACAGGGAAUGAUAAAUGCUCUGGCAGUGAGAGUCCUCUAUGAUGAUCCUCUCUUCCCCGGGAUGACCUUACAUGGAGGUGGACAACUCAGGAAAUCUAAGUGGCCUGGGAUGCUGAGUCACCACAUGGAGUUCAGCUGCCCUGGAGGGUUGCCCAGGCUCAGAGCAGACCACGUGCUGGGGAGAACACAUUCGUAGGAGCUGUGUUGAACUACUGAGAUAUUGGGGAUUUUUGUCACUGCCGCACAACCUAGCCCAUUCUGACGAUGCACCAUGAACAACAGGAGAUCUGACCCCCUGGGGACUACUGGCUGCAACCCGUUCCCCCCUCUAGAUGCCGGGCCACUUCUGCUCAUUCGUUUCAGGCCUGACUCUUGGGAUGGUAUGGGAAUUCCCUGGCAGUCCAGUGGUUAGGACUCUGUGCUGCUUCUGCCAAGGUUGUGUGUUCAAUCCCUGGUUGGGGAACCAAGAUCCUUCAAAAAAAGAAAAAGAAAGACUGGGCUGGUAUAUUGGUUUGCUAAGGCUGGUAUAACAAAAGGCCAUUGACUGAAGCCACAGAAAUGGAUUCUCUCAGUUCUGAAGGCGGGAAGCCCAAGGUCAAGGUGCGGGCGGCGUCAGUUCCUUCUGGACUAAGGGGCAGGAUGUCUUCCUGGCCUCUGCCUCUGUCUGUGUCCCGUUCUAUGAGGACACCAGUCCUCCUCCAGCAUGAUCUCAUCGUCACUAGGUACAAUGACCCUAUUUCCAAGUAAUGUUACACUUGGAGGUACUGGGGGUCAGGAUUUGAACACAUGAAUUUUGGUGGGGAGGUAUUCAACGCACGGCAGAGGGACUCCACGAGGAAGGUCCAGGGGAGCUGGGCCAGGUGAGCUGGGCGGGACAGAGGAGGGUGGGGGAGAAGCCACAUAUUUCCAGCAGGAGAAACCUCGUAAGCAGGCCUUUCUGGCAGGGUGGCUCUAGAAGGUUCUUAAGAGACUCCCUGCGGCUGCAGAAAGUAUGUGAGUGCGUGCGUGCAUGUGUGUGGGGGUGGGGCAGACCAAGACAGGC